rnacentral:rRNA from 1 species
AUUGAACGCUGGCGGCAUGCCUUACACAUGCAAGUCGAACGGCAGCAUGAUCUAGCUUGCUAGAUUGAUGGCGAGUGGCGAACGGGUGAGUAAUACUUCGGAACGUGCCCUGUAGUGGGGGAUAACUAGUCGAAAGAUUAGCUAAUACCGCAUACGACCUGAGGGUGAAAGUGGGGGACCGCAAGGCCUCAUGCUAUAGGAGCGGCCGAUGUCUGAUUAGCUAGUUGGUGAGGUAAAGGCUCACCAAGGCGACGAUCAGUAGCUGGUCUGAGAGGACGAUCAGCCACACUGGGACUGAGACACGGCCCAGACUCCUACGGGAGGCAGCAGUGGGGAAUUUUGGACAAUGGGCGAAAGCCUGAUCCAGCAAUGCCGCGUGUGUGAAGAAGGCCUUCGGGUUGUAAAGCACUUUUGUCCGGAAAGAAAUGGCUCUGGUUAAUACCUGGGGUCGAUGACGGUACCGGAAGAAUAAGGACCGGCUAACUACGUG